GACCGCGUAGCUCAGUUGGAAGAGCAUUGGGCUAGUAUUCCAAAGGUCGUAGGUUCGAGUCCCACCGUGGCCG
rnacentral:tRNA from 1 species